rnacentral:piRNA from 1 species
UCCUCUGCAAGAGUAGGUAGUGUUCUUAACC